CAGCCGUAAACUAUGCGCGUUAGGUGUACUGGUGACCACGAGUCACCGGGGUGCCGAAGGGAAACCGUGAAACGUGCCGCCUGGGAAGUACGGUCGCAAGGCUGAGACUUAAAGGAAUUGGCGGGGGAGCACCACAACGGGUGGAGCCUGCGGUUUAAUUGGACUCAACGCCGGAAAUCUCACCGGAUAGGACAGACAUAUGAUAGUCGGGCUGAAGACUCUACUUGAUGAUCUGAGAGGUGGUGCAUGGCGUCAGUGACU
rnacentral:rRNA from 1 species